rnacentral:sRNA from 1 species
GUUUGCUUGAGAGGCAGGCAAUACGUUGUGUACAGGACUUUUGCACAAAUCCUUAUCCAAAUUCUGAAUUCAUGCAAUUAUUUCAUUGUUGCAUUUAACAUUUUAAGCAAUUUCGGUUUGCAUUGUUCCAGUAAAACCAAAUGUGGAAGGGUACUACGGCAACCCCAAGGCCCACACAGAUGACCUUAGCAAACAAGACAGAACUAAAAAAACAGCAACAACAACAACAACAACAACAAUGGAACAAACAUAUAACUCAGUGUGUGUCUGCUUGUGUGUUAGUUUUCCGUUUCAUAUUUGCAGACUUGGUCAGUUGGAGUUGAGAAAAGUCACAUUUCGAGUCAAUGCAGUUGAGUCUACAACAUCGUCAUGGUUAUUGUACUCCAACUGUA